GUAUGAGAUUUUGCAUAACCCUUGUUCUUUUCAACAAAGGCUGGUCAACAGACAAUCACCUUUUUUUCAAUGGAUGUAACAUGCAAGUACUGGACAUAACUUGARAACUAACAAAAAGCUGUCCUGAGCUCCAACACCUGCUUAAAAUGAAGCCAUUUCUCUCAAUUUUCCAUGGCAAAGCCCAUGAAUGUAAACACAGAUGGACACAAAGCUUGUGUCAAGGCUCAUCGCAAGAUCAGAAAGGAGAAAACAUCUUAGCAUUAGCUUUAGAAGAUGUUGGUCACUUGAAGACUGAUACAGACACAGAAGUUCUGUCUGUGGAAGAGAUCCUGUCUGACUCUGUCAGUCUUCACACAAAACAAGGGCAAUCGAUGACAUCAUGAUAGUAAAGAGACUGGAAGAGGAAAAGAGGAUCCUUG